UUAAGUGACUAAGCGUACACGGUGGAUGCCCUGGCAGUCAGAGGCGAUGAAGGACGUGCUAAUCUGCGAAAAGCGUCGGUAAGGUGAUAUGAACCGUUAUAACCGGCGAUGUCCGAAUGGGGAAACCCAGUGCAAUUCGUUGCACUAUCGUUAACUGAAUACAUAGGUUAACGAGGCGAACCGGGGGAACUGAAACAUCUAAGUACCCCGAGGAAAAGAAAUCAACCGAGAUUCCCCCAGUAGCGGCGAGCGAACGGGGAGCAGCCCAGAGUCUGAAUCAGCUUGUGUGUUAGUGGAACGGUCUGGAAAGUCCGACGGUACAGGGUGAUAGUCCCGUACACCAAAAUGCACAGGCUGUGAACUCGAAGAGUAGGGCGGGACACGUGGUAUCCUGUCUGAAUAUGGGGGGACCAUCCUCCAAGGCUAAAUACUCCUGACUGACCGAUAGUGAACCAGUACCGUGAGGGAAAGGCGAAAAGAACCCCGGCGAGGGGAGUGAAAAAGAACCUGAAACCGUGUACGUACAAGCAGUGGGAGCACCUUCGGGUGUGACUGCGUACCUUUUGUAUAAUGGGUCAGCGACUUAUAUUCUGUAGCAAGGUUAACCAUAUAGGGGAGCCGCAGGGAAACCGAGUCUUAACUGGGCGUUAAGUUGCAGGGUAUAGACCCGAAACCCGGUGAUCUAGCCAUGGGCAGGUUGAAGGUUGGGUAACACUAACUGGAGGACCGAACCGACUAAUGUUGAAAAAUUAGCGGAUGACUUGUGGCUGGGGGUGAAAGGCCAAUCAAACCGGGAGAUAGCUGGUUCUCCCCGAAAGCUAUUUAGGUAGCGCCUCGUGAAUUCAUCUUCGGGGGUAGAGCACUGUUUCGGCUAGGGGGUCAUCCCGACUUACCAACCCGAUGCAAACUACGAAUACCGAAGAAUGUUAUCACGGGAGACACACGGCGGGUGCUAACGUCCGUCGUGAAGAGGGAAACAACCCAGACCGCCAGCUAAGGUCCCAAAGUCAUGGUUAAGUGGGAAACGAUGUGGGAAGGCACAGACAGCCAGGAUGUUGGCUUAGAAGCAGCCAUCAUUUAAAGAAAGCGUAAUAGCUCACUGGUCGAGUCGGCCUGCGCGGAAGAUGUAACGGGGCUAAACCAUGCACCGAAGCUGCGGCAGCGACACUAUGUGUUGUUGGGUAGGGGAGCGUUCUGUAAGCCUGCGAAGGUGACCUGUGAGGGUUGCUGGAGGUAUCAGAAGUGCGAAUGCUGACAUAAGUAACGAUAAAGCGGGUGAAAAGCCCGCUCGCCGGAAGACCAAGGGUUCCUGUCCAACGUUAAUCGGGGCAGGGUGAGUCGACCCCUAAGGCGAGGCCGAAAGGCGUAGUCGAUGGGAAACAGGUUAAUAUUCCUGUACUUGGUGUUACUGCGAAGGGGGGACGGAGAAGGCUAUGUUAGCCGGGCGACGGUUGUCCCGGUUUAAGCAUGUAGGCUGGUUGUCCAGGCAAAUCCGGAUAAUCAAGGCUGAGGUGUGAUGACGAGGCACUACGGUGCUGAAGUAACAAAUGCCCUGCUUCCAGGAAAAGCCUCUAAGCAUCAGGUAACAUCAAAUCGUACCCCAAACCGACACAGGUGGUCAGGUAGAGAAUACCAAGGCGCUUGAGAGAACUCGGGUGAAGGAACUAGGCAAAAUGGUGCCGUAACUUCGGGAGAAGGCACGCUGGUGUGUAGGUGAAGUCCCUGCGGAUGGAGCUGAGACCAGUCGAAGAUACCAGCUGGCUGCAACUGUUUAUUAAAAACACAGCACUGUGCAAACACGAAAGUGGACGUAUACGGUGUGACGCCUGCCCGGUGCCGGAAGGUUAAUUGAUGGGGUUAUCCGUAAGGAGAAGCUCUUGAUCGAAGCCCCGGUAAACGGCGGCCGUAACUAUAACGGUCCUAAGGUAGCGAAAUUCCUUGUCGGGUAAGUUCCGACCUGCACGAAUGGCGUAAUGAUGGCCAGGCUGUCUCCACCCGAGACUCAGUGAAAUUGAACUCGCUGUGAAGAUGCAGUGUACCCGCGGCAAGACGGAAAGACCCCGUGAACCUUUACUAUAGCUUGACACUGAACAUUGAGCCUUGAUGUGUAGGAUAGGUGGGAGGCUUUGAAGCGUGGACGCCAGUCUGCGUGGAGCCAACCUUGAAAUACCACCCUUUAAUGUUUGAUGUUCUAACGUUGGCCCCUGACCGGGGUUGCGGACAGUGUCUGGUGGGUAGUUUGACUGGGGCGGUCUCCUCCCAAAGCGUAACGGAGGAGCACGAAGGUUAGCUAAUCCUGGUCGGACAUCAGGAGGUUAGUGCAAUGGCAUAAGCUAGCUUGACUGCGAGCGUGACGGCGCGAGCAGGUGCGAAAGCAGGUCAUAGUGAUCCGGUGGUUCUGAAUGGAAGGGCCAUCGCUCAACGGAUAAAAGGUACUCCGGGGAUAACAGGCUGAUACCGCCCAAGAGUUCAUAUCGACGGCGGUGUUUGGCACCUCGAUGUCGGCUCAUCACAUCCUGGGGCUGAAGUAGGUCCCAAGGGUAUGGCUGUUCGCCAUUUAAAGUGGUACGCGAGCUGGGUUUAGAACGUCGUGAGACAGUUCGGUCCCUAUCUGCCGUGGGCGCUGGAGAAUUGAGGGGGGCUGCUCCUAGUACGAGAGGACCGGAGUGGACGCAUCACUGGUGUUCGGGUUGUCAUGCCAAUGGCACUGCCCGGUAGCUAAAUGCGGAAGAGAUAAGUGCUGAAAGCAUCUAAGCACGAAACUUGCCCCGAGAUGAGUUCUCCCUGAGACUUUAAGUCUCCUGAAGGAACGUUGAAGACGACGACGUUGAUAGGCCGGGUGUGUAAGCGCAGCGAUGCGUUGAGCUAACCGGUACUAAUGAACCGUGAGGCUUAACCUU
rnacentral:rRNA from 1 species